AAGACUAUACUUUCAGGGAUCAUUUCUAUGAUUUGUUACUAGAGAAGUUUCUCUGAAUGCAUAGAGCACCUGCAACCAUGAGGAGGAGAUGUAGG
ensembl:snoRNA U3 Small nucleolar RNA U3